UUAUGGCUCAGGAUGAACGCUGGCGGCGUAGCCUAAUACAUGCAAGUCGAACGAGAGUGCUUGCACUCUAGUGGCGAACGGGUGAGUAACACGUAGGUAACCUGCCUUACAGUUUGGGAUACCCUGGCGAAAGCUAGGCUAAUACCGAAUAAUUGGAUUGGAGGCAUCUCCGAUCUCUAAAAGGGGCCUUUAAAGCCUCGCUGAAUGAUGGACCUGCGGCGCAUUAGCUAGUUGGUGAGAUAACAGCCCACCAAGGCGAGGAUGCGUAGCCGACCUGAGAGGGUGAACGGCCACACUGGAUCUGAGACACGGUCCAGACUCCUACGGGAGGCAGCAGUAGGGAGUUUUCGGCAAUGGGGGCAACCCUGACCGAGCAACGCCGCGUGAAUGAUGAAAGGUCUUCGGAUUGUAAAGUUCUGUUAUAAGGGAAAAAUGAUAUGGUGAGGAAAUGCUCCAUAUUUGAUGGUACCUUAUUAGAAAGCCACGGCUAACUACGUGCCAGCAGCAGC
rnacentral:rRNA from 1 species